rnacentral:rRNA from 1 species
CCAAGGAUGUCUAACACGCUGUGCGAGUGCUCGGCGGUCUAAACCCGUGCGCGAAAUGAAAGUGAGGGGUCCUGGCGCCUGCGGUGGGACGGCGAGGGGCCCAGCGAGGGCCCGCCGCCCGCACCAUCGACCGAUCAUGAUUCUCCGAUGAAAGAUUUGAGUGUGAGCACACGUGCUGGGACCCGAAAGAUGGUGAACUAUGCCUGUGCAGGGCGAAGCCAGGGGAAACCCUGGUGGAGGCUCGUAGCGAUUCUAACGUGCAAAUUGAUCGUCGGAUUUGGGUAUAGGGGCGAAAGACUAAUCGAACCAUCUAGUAGCUGGUUCCCUCCGAAAUUUCCCUCAGGAUAGCUGCAACUUGUACAGUUUUAUCAGGUAAAGCGAAUGACUAGAGGCCUCUGGGUCGAAACGACUUGGACCUAUUCUCAAACUUUAAAUGGGUAAGAGGGGGCACUCGCCCGAGCGGAGUGCCCCCGCGAAUGGAAAGUUGCUAGUGGGCCGGCGCUGGUAAGCAGCAUUGGCGAUGCGGGAUGAACCGAACGCUCGGGUUAAAGCGCCAAACUGCCCGCUCAUCAGAACCCAC